CUGGAGUCAGCCAGCAAGCCCAGCUGGCUCUACCUUCAACACCAUGAUGGUAAUCUGUUGCUCUGCUGUGUCACAAACGACUCCAAAUUAUAGUGGCUUAAAACAACACACAUUUAUGACUUCCAGGUGGGUCUGGAAUCCAAGUCUGGUUUAGCAGUUUCCCUCUGCCCCAGGGUCUCCUACAAGGCUAAAAUCAGGGAGCUGUUUGGGGCUGUGGUUUAAUCUCAGGGGUCACAUGUACAUCUUAAAUUCUGCAUAAAACAGUUUUAUAUAAUAAAAGGCCACUUCUCACAGCAUCUCUGGCCCCAAAAGGGGCGGAGUUUCCUGGGGGGCUGGUGAGCAGUGACACUGUAAAGGGGCGGAGUUUCCUGGGGGGCUGGUGAGCAGCGACACUGUAAAGGGGCGGAGUUUCCUGGGGGGGACUGGUGAGCAGCAACACUGUAAAGGGGCGGAGUUUCCUGGGGGGGCUGGUGAGCAGCGACACUGUAAAGGGGCGGAGUUUCCUGGGGGGCUGGUGAGCAGCAAUACUGUAAAGGGGCGGAGUUUCCUGGGGGGGGCUGGUGAGCAGCGACACUGUAAAGGGGCGGAGUUUCCUGGGGGACCUGGUGAGCAGUGACACUGUAAAGGGGCAGAGUUUCCUGGGGGGACUGGUGAGCAUUGACACUGUAAAGGGGCGUAGAGUUUCCUGGGGGACCUGGUGAGCAGUGACACUGUAAAGGGGCGUAGAGUUUCCUGGGGGACCUGGUGAGCAGUGACACUGUAAAGGGGCGUAGAGUUUCCUGGGGGUACUGGUGAGCAGCGACACUGUAAAGGGGCGGAGUUUCCUGGGGGGCUGGUGAGCAGUGAGACUUUUUUCCGGGUCCCAACCCCCCAGGACAUCAUGCGGUCAGGAGCUCUGGGCUGGCGCAAGCGCACCCCAAGAUGCACGGCCCGGCUGUCACUGUGACUGCGGUGGGCUCCUGGCGCUCUGGGUGCCUGGCACUGCAGCCUGAGGUCUGGGGUGGAGGCUGCCACCUGGUGUGCUGGUGAUCCUGGGCCACCCAACACCUCCUCCACCAGCGGGGAUUUCAGAGGCCCAGGUACCCGCAUGGAGAGAACAGGUGCUCAGACCAAGGCCAGGUCCAGGAGGAGGCAGGACCCGGGAGGCCUGGACAACCCCAGGCCUGUCCUGAGCGUUGGAGGGCCGCUUCUGCCCACAGGCUUGGUCCCCAGGCCCAGCAGUGUGAGAGCCAGUCUUCCCAGGCCAGGACAGGGUUCAGGGAGGCAGCUCUGUGGGGCUGAGGCCUGGCCAUCCUGUGUCACAACCUCCUCCAUGGCCAGAGUGAGGUGACCCUGCUGGGGGUGACCAGGCCUGGGCCUGUGCUUGGCAAGUCUUUGGCUGAUGGGACGUUAGACGCCAGGGGCUUCCCAGAGGGGCAGUGGGGGCGGGAGUGCAGCUGAGGAUGAGCAGGAGCCUCCCCAUCCCUUUCGGGCCCACACUGAGAACAUGCAGUUCCGGCAGGGCGGCUUGUGGCCAGCCAUGGCCUGGGUGACCCGCAGGUGGGGGAUUCUGGCGGGUCUUGAAGUGGAAAUGUCCAUCCCUACCAGCCGGGCCUUGUUCCUCAGACUGCCAGGAGCCUGCCCGCCGGGUUGCUGCCCCUCUUGGGGGCCCAGGGCUAAAGGUGUCUAGCUUGGCAAGACUGUGAGUCUGGGCCUCCCUCCCUGGCGCUAAAUGCAUGCCAGCACUCACACGCCUAUGCACACAUGCCACCCCCGUGCGUCUGGCUGGCUGGGUGCUGCUCCCCGGGGUCCCCUCCUCCAGGAAGCCCUACGGCCUGCGUUCACCUUCUUCCUUCUGGGUAGCGUGACCUCCGAUGACCCCGAAGGUGGGGAUCCUUAUCCGUGGAGAAAACCCGACCUUCCUGACAUGCCUGGUGGGUGGGUUCUUCCCUAAAGGCCUGGGCGGCGGGGUGGGGGGGGCCUCGAGGGCCCCGAGUUCCGCUCUCAGCUCACGAUGGGCUGCAUGGCACCCAGAGCUGGCCUGGCUGGAAAUGAGACAAUAGCCAGGCCCACCCUGGAGGGCUGGUGUGGGGCGCUGGGGGGACCUGCAGGGGCCUGGAGGGCUGGGCACUCCUCAGCG
rnacentral:lncRNA from 1 species